AGCGGCGGACGGGUGAAGUAACACGUGGGUAACCUGCCUGUAAGACUGGGUAACUCCGGGAAACCGGGGCUAAUACCGGUGGUUGUUUGAACCGCAUGGUUCAAACAUAAAAGGUGGCUUCGGCUACCACUUACAGAUGGACCCGCGGCGCAUUAGCUAGUUGGUGAGGUAACGGCUCACCAAGGCAACGAUGCGUAGCCGACCUGAGAGGGUGAUCGGCCACACUGGGACUGAGACACGGCCCAGACUCCUACGGGAGGCAGCAGUAGGGAAUCUUCCGCAAUGGACGAAAGUCUGACGGAGCAACGCCGCGUGAGUGAUGAAGGUUUUCGGAUCGUAAAGCUCUGUUGUUAGGGAAGAACAAGUACCGUUCGAAUAGGGCGGUACCUUGACGGUACCUAACCAGAAAGCCACGGCUAACUACGUGCCAGCAGCCGCGUUAAUUAA
rnacentral:rRNA from 1 species